UGAAUACGAGAUGCUACGGCGUCGAAGCAGUCUAUGUCAUACUUCCAAGAAAAGCUCGCACUGUCAUAAACAAAUAAUGCCUGUACCAUAACCGACAUAGGUGGGUAGGUAGAGUAUACUAAGGGGCGCGAGAUAACUCUCUCUAAGGAACUCGGCAAAAUGACCCCGUAACUUCGGGAGAAGGAGUGCCUUAUUUAUAAGGUUGCAAUAACAAGAUCCAAGCAACUGUUUAUCAAAAACACAGGUCUCCGCUAAGUCGUAAGACGAUGUAUGGGGGCUGACGCCUGCCCAGUGCCAGAAGGUUAAAGAAGUUGGUUAGCAUUCGCGAAGCUGAUAACUGAAGCCCUGGUGAACGGCGGCCGUAACGAUAACGGUCCUAAGGUAGCGAAAUUCCUUGUCGGGUAAGUUCCGACCCGCACGAAAGGCGUAAUGAUUUGGAUACUGUCUCGGAGAGGGGCUCGGUGAAAUAGACUUGUCUGUGAAGAUGCGGACUACCUGCACCAGGACAGAAAGACCCUAUGAAGCUUUACUGUAACUUGAGAUUGAAAUUGGACUUUACUUGCGCAGUAUAGGUGGGAGGCGUUGAUAAUAUUCUUGCGGGAUUAUUUGAGCCAUCAGUGAGAUACCACUCUUGUAAUGUUAGAUUUCUAACUUUGUAUCAUUAUCUGGUCAAAGGACAGUUUCAGGCGGGCAGUUUGACUGGGGCGGUCGCCUCCUAAACGGUAACGGAGGCGCACAAAGGUUUCCUCUGAACGGGUAGAAAUCGUAUCUAGAGUGUAAAGGCAUAAGGAAGCUUGACUGUGAGACCUACAAGUCGAGCAGGGACGAAAGUCGGUCUUAGUGAUCUGACGGUGCUGAGUGGAAAGGCCGUCACUCAACGGAUAAAAGUUACUCUAAGGAUAACAGGCUGAUCUCCCCCAAGAGUUCACAUCGACGGGGAGGUUUGGCACCUCGAUGUCGGCUCAUCGCAUCCUGGGACGGUAAUACGUCCCAAGGGUUGGGCUGUUCGCCCAUGAAAGCGGUACGCGAGCUGGGUUCAGAACGUCGUGAGACAGUUCGGUCCAUAUCCGGUGUAGGCGUUAGAAUAUUGAGAGGAGCCUUCUUUAGUACGAGAGGACCGAGAAGGACAUACCUCUGGUGUACCAGUUAUCGUGCCAACGGUAAACGCUGGGUAGCUAUGUAUGGAGUGGAUAACCGCUGAAAGCGUCUAAGUGGGAAGCCCACCUCAAGAUAAGUAUUUUC
rnacentral:rRNA from 1 species